GAGGACAAUAUUUGCUAGCGGUGUGCUUGGGCCGUUACACUCUGUAAUUCUUGUAGAUUCUUGUAGACGACACUGUAAUUCUUGUAGAGACAUUGGGCCAUUGUAUACCAAGUCCCUGCACUUGGGAAUGAUCAGGUGUUGAAGAUAAGUCUUAGAAUUGUGCCCGACGAAUACACAAGUAUCUCACAGGAAUUUGAAGGUGAGGGCCAUAAAAAUGCGAGCUCCUUCAUGUUAAGCUCCACAGAAUUCCAGAAGUGGAAGAUUUGAAUAAGGCACAAAAGUAUGCAAGCUUGAAGUGAACUUGGUCUUGGAGGAUUUUGUGUGCCUUACUCUUGUCAUUAAAUCUAGGCGGUGUUUGAGAUGGCUCAACCGUGAAACUUAAAGUACGAUCAUCAAGAUGUGAGAAAGCUCGUCAAGGCCAAUGGCUGAUGAAUUGGAAGCACACCAUGCAUCUUCUGUAAUGAAUUGCAUCCAUGAAUCGUCCUUCUCUUCUUCUUCCACACAAGAAGAUGAAGCUGCCAUCAGAACAUCAGGUGACAA